CAACAGCGCGAAAGGAGGUGAUCCGAUGUCUCAUGGUUCAGCAGAGAGGUCGGCAAUUUCCGUCGCGAGGCAUUAUCGCUAAAUUUUGAUGAAGCGAUAAAGGCUUUCGCUGGCGGCACUUCCCGGCCGCUGACCAUGCGAAGGGCCGCACCGGGCAACCGGGGCGGCCC
rnacentral:sRNA from 1 species